UCGACCCCUACUGAGCCUCCAAACCCACGUCUGUACAGUGCGUCUACACUGGCCCACUUUGUAGAUGGUUUGAGGCCCAAGUGAGAGAUGGGGGGUUUAGGGAACUCAGGCCCUACCUCACCCCUGCUCUUUAUGAUUCACUGUAUCUCUAGGGUUUCCCCUUCCCAGCAGAAUGGUUCUUUAUAUAUCAUCAUGCCCCUGUGCCUUUCAGAGACUUGCCUCAGAACCAGGGAGAAGGUCACUGCAAGCCAUCUGCUUAUGAGAUACAUCAGUGGACAGGGGCCCAACUCAGGCAGAGCUCCUCUUUAAGGCCCACUAACACACAGUGCUCGGGCCAGUGGGUCACCUGCCCGGCGACAAGUGGUAAACGUGUAGCCACCUAGGCCCCCAAUCCAGGCAGUGGAGAUGCUGCUUCUGACUGAGGAUGGAGCCAAAGAGAGCCCAGCAUAAUCUGGUCUCUGUAACCACAGAAGGAGUGAGGGACUGGCCUUGUGGGCCUGGCUGCCAGAGGGAGUGAAGCAGAUAAAUCAGUGGAUGUUGACUCAGGGGAGAGAAUUGGGCCUUUCUGACCUGGGCUGUUCCCAAUUCUACCUAGUCCUGCUUAGGAAUAAACCUGGAGACAGUGAGGAGUAGCGGAAAGAAGGGUUCAGGGUUCCACACUCCCCAAAAAGCUGGCCUGGAUUUUCUACCUUUAAUGUGUGGCCUUGAGUAAGUGCCCCCAUGGUGCUGAGCUCCACCCCCUCCUUCCCAUGAUGGAGAGAAGAAUAAUAACAUUCACCUCCAGGGACUCUGGGGAGACUCAGUGUAGCCAGGGUUGGCCCUAGCUCACAAUCCCUGUCCUAAUCCUGCUCUCAAAGGCGACUUUGGAUCUCUCUUGGGAUCACAGGAAAAGAAAAGAGUUGAGCUCCCGCUGAUGACAGUCAGAAAGAGGCCCCCGCUCACUGUCUGCUUGGUGACCUUGGGCAAGCAGCUUACCGUUUCUGAGCCUCUGUUUCCCCAUUUGUAAACUGGGAAUAACAUCCAUUUAGGACCAAGUAAAACAGUGUAUAAGAACCUGAUGUGGAUGACACCCAAAGAGGGUGCUCUCAAGAGAGGGAGCAGGGCCCCACAUUCAUGUUCCCUCUUUCAAAAACCACGGCGUUUUUCCUGUCUCCCCUGUGCUGUAUGGGGGUUCCUCCCCUCAAUAGCCUUCUAUAACUCCCCAUUUCUUAGCAAAUCCAAAACUCACUGCCACUGGGCCUCGGCCAUCUAUAUGGCUCAGCUUCCCACUCUCUUUGCUUUCUCUCUUGUGCUCCAGGAAAAUUCUGUGGGCCUGUGUUCCUAGAAUGUUCUUGUCCUCUCCCACAUCUUUGCUCACAUUCCUCCCCCUCCCCCUGCCAGACAGUGGCCCCUCUGGGCUCCCCCAUAGUCUUUCCAGGUGAAGACUCCUCUGGUUUCUCCAACUUCUCCCUCUCCUGCGUCUGGAGGACAUUGUCCGUAUAUUCUGAUUGUGUACAAGUCACCUAGAUCUUUGUCGUACUCUCCCCAGGUUCUAAGUUGGUCAGCUUGAGGGCAAGGGGUGUGUUUUUCUCAACAUUGCACUCCCCAGCCUACUACCUUUGAUGCAGUGCCUGGCACAUAGUAGGUUCACAAUUUGGGAAACGGUAGAAUUGUUUCAAAGGGUACUGUUGAAAAGUGUCAGAAGAGAGGAGGGUGGUCACUGACACUCAUUAGGCCUCACCUCUGGGCCAGGUGCAUUACAGGUAUCAUUCCAUGAAUCUAUCAGUGAUCCUGUGAGGUGCUUGUUGUCCCCAUUUUAUAGGCAAGGCAAGAGGCUCAGAGAGGAGACAUACCAAAGGUCACAUGCCUAAGGUUAUAAAGCUGGUAAUCAUCAGACACAGAUCCAAACCCAGCGCCUGUCUGACUUGAGAGAGGGAGCUGGGCCUGGGUCUGUUGAGGCCUCCGCGUCUGCCAGCCCCAUGUCUGGCAGCACUGGCUGAAGCCUCUGCCUCCCAGCUUCCUGGAGUUCUUCUCGCUGGACGGAGUGGUCCCUGGUGUCAGCCCAGCAGGGAGCCUGGAGCCUUCUAAGACUCCCAACUCAGGCCCUAGUGCCGCUGCUGAAGAGACUCUGUAGCCACUCAGGCCUACCUUGAGGGACUGGCAAGGGGCUGACUUCACCCUCUACACCCAGGCAGUUGGGACAGAGCUAGCUGCCAUUGCACAAUCUUUACAAACAGAUCUCCAUGCUCAGACCUGGCAGGGCCCACAGAGCUGUGUCAUCCUGUCUAACCUCCUCAUUUGAGAGGCAAGAGCCCAGAGAGGUUAGGCAAUCUGUCCAAAGUCACACAGUGUUCAGAACAUUCUAACCGUAGUCAGCAUUGUGUGAGCUGUGUGUCCAAACCCUUAACAGUGUUUAUCUUUGGAAGGUGGAGUUCCUCUCAUUUUCUUCCUUAUGACUCUGAAUGAUUUGAACUUUUUAAACUUAAAUGUGUAACUUUUGUAACGAAGAAUAAAAGAAGAUUAGAAGGCAAUCAUAUGUAGGUAACAGCAUUGUUGUUAAAACCAAGUUACAGAGUUAGACUGCCUGGAUUAGAAUCCCAGCUUGCUUACUCACCAGCUGUGUGUAUUUGGGCAAGUUACUUUACCUCUGUGAGACUCAGUUUUCUCAUCUUUAAAGCGGGAAUAAUAAUCAUAUCGAUCUUGUAGGGCUGAUAGGAAGGUUAUAUAAGACAGUGAUUGGCACACUAGAGCCUGUGAACCAAACCUAGCUCGCUCCCUCCUUCUGUACAAACCACAAACUAAGACUGGUUUUUAUAUUUUAAAUGGUUGGGGGAAAAAAAUCAAAAGAAGAAUCUCAUUUUAUGACAUGUGAAUGUCAUAUAAAAUUCAAACUUCAGUGUCCAUAAAUAAAGUUUUAUUGGAACACAGCCACACCCGUUCCUUUACAUGGUAUCUGUGGCUGCUGUCACACUACAAUGGGAGGCGUAUAUUGUGACAGAGACAGUAUGGCUCACAAAGCCUCAAAUAUUUACCCAAGUCCCUUUACAGGAAAAGUUUGCCAACCCCUGAUAGGAGCUCAUGGAUGAAAAGUACUGUAGAACAAUGCCUGACACAGAUACAGAUCUCAAAGCAAGGCUUGUUGGACAAAUAAAUGAAGAUGAGCCCAAGAGCCCAGGAGAGGGACCGGGAACAGCAGGGCCUCCGUGACUCACACAAGCUUCAUCCCUGAACCAAGGACGCAGCCUGCCAACAAUGGCCCCAAGCCACACCCCGCCACAGGGGGAACUGAUGCUGCGGUGAGAAGUGACAGCUUUCUGUUGACUCUUUUUUUUUUCAAGCAGAAUAUGAAUUGAGACAUACUUUCAUUUUCAUAAUCAGAACCUAACACUUAGUAACCAAUGUUGGUGGAAGCAAAUGAGAUCACAGUUUGUCUGUUCCAAACUCAUCUCUGGGAAAAGGAGGAGGAAAAAUUAUUGGCACUAUGUUCAGAAUCAUAGCUGAAGAUGCAGAAAUUGUUCAUCCCAAUUUUGCCUUUCUGAAGAAAGCCACCACUAAGAAAACGAAAAGAGAAGCAGCAGACCAGGAGAAAAUAUUUGCAAAACCAAAUCUGAUAACGGACUUGUAUCCAGUAUUUGCAAAGAACUUCUAAACUUAAUAACAACAACGACGACAAAGGAGCAAAAUCCCUGGUGGUCUAGCAGUGAGGAUUAAAAAAGAAAAGAAGCAAAAUAUAUGAACAGCUGUUUCUCCAAAGGAGAUAUACCAAUAGCUAAUAAAAUAUGCACAGAUGCUCCACAACAUUAGUCAUUAGGGAAAUACAGAUUAAAAUCACCAUGAGGUACUACUUCACACACACUAGAAUGACUAAUCAAAGACAGAUAAUAACAGAAGUUGGCUAGGAUGUGGAGAAACAGAACUGCUAUGGUUUUAAUGUCCCCUCUAAAACCCAUGUUGAAAUUUAAUUGCCAUUUGCAGUAUUAAGUAGUGGGACCUUUAUAAAUUACCCAGUCUGUGGUAUUCUGUUAUAGCAGCAGAAAACAAACUAAGACAAGAACCCUCAUACAUUGCAGGUGGGAAUAUAAAGUGGUGCAGCCUCUUUGGAAAACAGUUUGGAGGUUCCUCAAAAAGUUAAACAUACAAUUACCAUAUGACCCAGCAAUUCCACUCCCUAGGUAUCUACCCAAGAGAAAUGAAAACAGGUACUAUACAAACAAAGACUUGUGAGUCACUGUUCAUACAGCAUAAUCCAUAAUAGCCAAACACUGGAAACAACCUAAAUAUCCAUCCACUGAUGAAUGAAUAGGCAAAAUGUGCUCUAUCCAUGCACUGGAACACUAUUCACCAACAGAAAGGAGCAAACUGCUGACGCACGCUGCCGUAUGGAUGAACCUCAAAGGUGGGAAAGUUCAAGAAGCUAGGCACAAGGAACUGCGUAUUGUAUGAUUCCAUUUAUAUGAAAUGUCCGGAAAGGCAAAUUUAGAGAAACAGUAAACAGAUUAAUGGCUGGGUCUGAGGUGGGAACAUGAUUAUCUGUAAGUGGGCAUCAGGGAGGAAUAUUCCUGGGAACCAUGAGAAUGUUCUAGAAUUGAUCUUUAAUUAAUUUUUGUUGUUUUUGUUGUUCUUUGAGAUGGAAUCUCAUGCUGUCACCUGGGCUGAAGUACA
rnacentral:lncRNA from 1 species